rnacentral:rRNA from 1 species
GACGAACGCUGGCGGCGUGCUUAACACAUGCAAGUCGAACGCUGAAGCUUGGUGCUUGCACUGGGUGGAUGAGUGGCGAACGGGUGAGUAAUACGUGAGUAACCUGCCCUUGACUCUGGGAUAAGCCUGGGAAACUGGGUCUAAUACUGGAUACGACAUGCCACUGCAUGGUGGUGUGUGGAAAGGGUUUUACUGGUUUUGGAUGGGCUCACGGCCUAUCAGCUUGUUGGUGGGGUAAUGGCCUACCAAGGCGACGACGGGUAGCCGGCCUGAGAGGGUGACCGGCCACACUGGGACUGAGACACGGCCCAGACUCCUACGGGAGGCAGCAGUGGGGAAUAUUGCACAAUGGGCGGAAGCCUGAUGUAGCGACGCCGCGUGAGGGAUGACGGCCUUCGGGUUGUAAACCUCUUUCAGCACGGAAGAAGCGAGAGUGACGGUACGUGCAGAAGAAGCGCCGGCUAACUACGUG